GAAGACAAUGGUGGAAUAGCGGAAUACAUCCAUGGUGGAAAUACAAAUACCAUCUGGCAGAGUUUGUUGUAUUGGAGUACAGAAAGCGUAGCUUAGUGAUAUCUAAAAGAUUUUUAAUGUCAUGGCUGAAUAUCAAGAUGAUUUAGACAAUGUGGAUGAG